CAAAUUUUAUCUGUAUUAAUUUUCUUUAUUGUUUGUCUGUUUUCUAUUCCAUUGAUUUUGGCUUUCUAUUAUUCCCUUAAGAAAGUACUUCGAAUCGAUUUGUCUUUAUAUUUAAAGUGCAUCUCUUUCAGCCCGAGGAAGCUAAAAAGUAAUAACAAUAAAAAUAAAUGAAUAAAUAAAGUACAUCUCUUAUAGGCCAUAUAUAGUUGAGUCUUGCAUUUUUUUAAUUCAUUCUUACAGUUUUCAUGUUUUAUUAGGUAUGUGUAGUCCAUUUAAAUUUAAAGUAGUCCAGAUAUGGUGGCUCACACUUGUAAUACUAGCACUUUGGAAGGCCCAGGCAGGAUGAUCUUUUGAUGCCGGGAGUUCAGGACAAGACUGGGCAUUAUAGUGAGACUUCACCUCUACAAAAAUUUACAAAUUAGCAGGCAUGGUGGCACAAUCCUGUAAUCCCAGCUACAAAAAAAAAAUGUGAUUAAUGUUUGGGAAAUGUUCACCAUUUUAUAAUUAUUUUUUAUUCCUUCUUUUCUUUCUUCUUUGGGAUAAUUAAAUGUUUUUCAUCAUUCAAUUUUAAAUUAUUUAUAGGCUUUUUGGCUCUCUUUGCUUUUAAAUAAAAAAUGCACAGAUUAAAAUUUAUCUUCUAACACAUCCUUGAAGUUUCUGUGUAGUUCUGAACACUGCACUAGAGAUCCAUGGCCACGACAGAUGAAAGAAUUGGGCUUAAGACUUGCCUGCUGAGGCAGGUCUAUUGCUCAAGCAAAAGCUUCUAACCCAUAUUUUCUUCAGGUGCCAAGUUAAGAGACUCCUGGGUUCUAGAAGGAGUUCCUGGAUGUAGACAAUGGUUUGCUGCCAUCUCCUAAGGUGGCCCUUCAUUUCUAUGUGGGACUGUAUUACCUCUAAGCUCUCUAGGGGCACAGUUCUCCUGGAUGUGUUGGCUUUUGAAGACCCCAGAUAUUCAUCCAUAUAGGAGUAUAAGACAUCAACUUUGUGGUAUUGACAGUCUAGCAGUUGGUGAUUUGAAACCCAUCUAAAAGAGCAGGUUGCUAUAUGCUCAUUAUGAUUCAGUUGAUCUGAAGUGAGAAGCUGCUGUAGACUCUGCUGGUCCUAAGGUUGCGUGUCUACUCAUUAUCUUAAUACAAAGGCAGUUUUUCUGGUUCCUUUUCUGAAAAGACUUCUUAAUAGGUGGCAUUCCUAGUUGGCACCCUGGGCACUGAUAGCAUGGCCUGAGAGACUCCCUAUAUGGCACUUGGGCAACACUGAUGGCCGUAAACCAAAAUGAAUGCUAUGUCUCCUUAGCUCCCAUGACAUUCUCAGGGAUGGAUGUUGUGCUGAUCAGGGUUGAAUACCAAAUGAUAAUGUGAGAAGCCAUUUACUUAUAGGAAAGGCAGUUUCAUAUACUUUUCCAUACCAGUAUUGAAGGGUAUAGUCUUGUGUGAUGGUCUUUUCCAGCAGCAGCCACCAAUAGAUCAUUUCCAAAAUGAUUGUCCAGAGCUUGGAAUAGCUUUGAAGUUGAAAUUGUUAGAUGAAGAAUCAGUAAAAGUCCUUGGUGACCUGAAGUGUACCACAACCUGGACUUACAGGGACAGACAUCAGGACUCACUGGCAGACUGGAUAUGGAGCUCAAAGAAAGAAACAGGCCCUCAAACUCCUGGCCUCAAGUGAUCACUCCGCCUCAGCCUCUCAAAAUGCUGAGAUUACAGGUGUCAACUACUGCAUCCAGCAUACUUGAUUUUUCUUUAUUUUUAUUUUUAUUUCAUUGAAUUAUUGUUUUGAAUAAUAGAGUUUGAAGCUGUAAUAUGUGAAGACAAAUAUAAAAUUGUUAUAUUGUCCUGGUAAGUGAAACCUCUUAAUCAAUAUAUAGGAAUUCCUUAUUUUUUUUUUAGUAAUGCAUUUUACCCAAGAAUGUUUAGUGUAAGUAUUUCCAUGGUAUUUCUUUUUGCAUUCCCUCAU
rnacentral:lncRNA from 1 species